UUGUCUAUUCGGGAAGGCAUAGGUAUGGUUAUUCCUUCUAACUUUAGUUCUAUUGCUGUGAGCUGUGAUUUUAGUUAUGAAGCUCUUGAACGUUUCUAUCAAAGUUCUUUCUUCUGUCCCUUUCUUCCUAGAUGAUGAUUAAAAUGAAAGUUAUAUUUGAAUUACAACUGAUACAAGAUAUAAAAUUUGCUGGGUGAUGGAAAUGCCUCCUGAAUUUAGGAGAAAAAACUCCAGAUUCAUUUAAAAUCGGCGUGCAAUAUUGCAUGUGGUAGUGGUAGUGGUAGUGGAAUUUCUUUUAUCCGUUACAAUGCAUAUGGGAGAAAGAAAAGGUCUUCAAACAUUGAUGCAUGUUCCUGAUCAAUUAUCUUCACCAUUGCAAAACAUUGGAUUCUAUUUCCCACCGUAUCGCCAGCUAUAUGCAUUAGUUGUUGAAUAAAAAUGCUAAAGAGUUUGCUUAGCAACAGUUUCACUUUUUACGAGGAAUAACAGUAGUACUAUAUGAGAGCACUUAAGCAAUAAAUAUUCUUUAAGUUUUUGGGGAGGGGGUGGUAUGCAUGUACACUUAUGCUUGGCUGCUAUAUUUAUAUUUAUAUCAUAUUUGUAUCCAUACAAAUACUUCUUUGAUACUCUAUGCUAUACAUCCAAUAUUUCUAAAAUUUUUUCAUUCUUUUGGAAUAAUUUUUUGCUUUAAAAUGGAUGCCGGGAUUUGACAAUCUCACGCUUGUGGACCUGGAUUGCAAAACUAUAGAACUUUAUAGUUCUUAGAACGCAAGAGAAGUAUCAAAAGAAUGCUUGACAAUUAUGCUUCAUUUUUGUGACCAAGGAAUGUAAGGUACUUUAAAAAUUAAAAAACAACAAAUACACUGCAGUUUAGACAAGUAAAAUUUCCAUGACCACUAAUAAAUAUUAGUGACAGGUUCAAUGACCACUGGUCAAUUUUACCCCUAAUUAACAACAAUAGUUACUAAAAGGGUUAAUUGUAAAAAAAAAUCCUGAAAUUUGAUAAUAUUUGCAAUUAAACCUUGAAGUUUG
rnacentral:misc_RNA from 1 species